rnacentral:lncRNA from 1 species
GGACGGAUACUUCACAGCAGAGGAAGGAGACUCCGAAGGGAUUACCUUAUUCCAUUUAUCUUGGGCCUCCCCAAAAAAGCAGUGGCAGAGUUGAGUCUACCAUCCUUGCCGAAGGUCUGCCCAAUGCGUUUGCAUUGAUCUAAAUGCAAAUUCUAAAAAGUGAUCCGUGAAUUCUGACAUAAAAGAACGUCGCUUCACUGGCAACAGAGGAAGUCGUCCUGAAGAAAUCCCAGCAGUCACCUUUCAACAACCAAAGAAAAAUUUAAUUUCAUAAUUUAAAAUUAAUAAAAAGGAAAAUA